AUGAGUUCAAAUUAAAAUACAGCAUCUGUGGACUGUGGAGCUAAGAGAUUUUAAUAUUUUCCUGCACAUUUUCAGACUCUAGUUCAGUAUUGUUACAUGCAAAUUAUCAGGACAGAAUUGGAGGAAGUGAAAUUUGCUUGGAAUAACCAUCGAAUCAGGAAGCAAAAAAUGGGAGAUGUUGUUCCUGGGAUUCCAGAAUUCCUUUAUCAUGUUCCAGAAAUGUUAGGUAUUCCACAGUGUAAAAAUUAUAUCCAUCCUCUAAGUGUGAAUGACGAAAA